UUUUAACGCGCGCCAUUUUCGCGAACUUUUUUGUUUUGAUGAAAAUUAGAAAGAAUAAAAUUUUCUUCAACACGCUUCAACGGAUUCGAGUGUUUGCUCUCGCGAAUCGUUCAAAUACAGUGGAUACAAGAUUCCCUAUCCGAAGAGCACUAUCACCCAAUAUCCUCUAUCGAUUCUAUCCGCUAACAGUGGUGCUGAGGGCCUGUGAUGAAUCUUCCGACUUUCCGGAUAAGCAGCGGUUGCCAUCAUAGAAGUUUUCCCCCGGAAAUCCCUCCAGCAUUCGCAGCAACAGCAGAAGCUGUUGGAACAUGCUGCGAUGAUGGUGGUUCCCGGGCCCUCGACAUCGACGAUAUAGGAUCUAAAGAGUUUACAGCAUCUGGAACUCGAGGGAGGUACCUCUGGUUCAUUUGCAGUUUCUGCUACCGACUGCUAAUCCCAAUCGUUACAAGCUACUUCCCGAUGGCACUGAAAUGGACAACAUUGUUUAUUCGUUCAUGCAUGGCGACUUUUGAUUCGUUCGAAUACUUCACCCAGCUCUCGGAUGAAAUUUUGGUGGACUAUGCUUUCUUUGCGUUGGUCUAUACCAGAAUACUGGAGGCUGUGAUUCCGAUCGGCGCAUGAGCACCUCGAUCAACGUUCAAGAUCCGAUUUCGUGGGCAGCGGAAACCGAUGGAGAUGCAAGUCAUCCGUCGGAAGCGUUCAAAUGCUGAGCAUUGUGGUCCGCGACAUGGGUGAUAGGGAUGAUCUUCAAAUGGAACAAGUAUUCGGUUCAUUCUGCGCACAGCAUCGUGAAGAGCUGACGAGUCACCAAGUUCGUCGGAUCACUUGAAAAGGCGUCAAUUCCCGAAGUUCUUCACUUCUCGUACCCGUGACAACUUCGAGAAGAUAGAAUCGUCGUCAUUUGAAAACACGCGUGUGCCUUCCAAUGAGAGCUGACUUGUACUUACGAACUGGAAGCUUUGUCAACGGUCAAUCGAAAGAUGUAUUCAUACCUGGGCCGUUCUAAGGUUCUCGAAGAUCAGGAAGUUAUCGUUUCUUCAUCCGAUGUAUCUUUCGCCAUACGGAUUUGAUAACGAAAGAAGCCUCGUGUGAAUGUGUUCUGCUGGAGGCGACGGGCGAACUGGAAGUUGCCUUCUCACAUUCACAGGCUAAACGGAUAGAUUAUACCCAUAUGUCCCUCAACUUAGUUCCGACCGUCAUUAUGGAUCCUGCUAAGAACGAGGAAUAAUUAAUAAUUAGUUCGAUCAAUGGUUGCUUGGUUGGUGGUUGCUCGAACAACAAAAGACCUGAAUCUUCCAGCACAACCUGCCAAAAUACUCGGAAUAUGAAUAUAACUGUAAAAUAAAAUUAUUUAGAAUUCUCUUUAUUAAUCAAAGGUUAUUUCUUGUUUUAAGGAAUAAUAUUCUUGAUUAGUCGUGCUUUUAAAUAAAAUAUCAUCAAGUGUAUUCGAAAGUAUAACUAAUCAUGAAUAAAAUUCCUGGAAACGAGAAAUAUCUUUAGCAAACUGAUCCAAUCAAUAUAAACAUAAAUGAUUCAUGGUAAACCAUGAAAUUUCAUGGUACAAACAAUGAUUAUGUACCAUAGAAAAACCUUGACUUUCAUCUUCUUUACAACAAUGAAAAUAAACGGAUUUUCAUCGUUUUACCAUGAAAAAGUGGAAGCUGAUUUCACCAUGAACUUCAUAUUUUUGAGCUUCCGAAUGUAUGGGAAAUCGCCAUUUUUUUCAUGGUCACGCUGCAUAACAAUACCCCUUUUUCAUGGUUAUUUUCGCCAAAACAGUGAAAUGUAUGGUCGGAAACUAUGAAUUCCAAUGUGCAUUCACGGUAUCGUGGACGAUAAUAAUCAUUGUGUAAACCAUAAAAUUUAUGGUUUGUGAAUAUGGAAUUCAUGGUUUUUUCAUUGUACAAUUCUAUUCGGGUUGUUUGCCGAUUUCUUUAGCAGCGUGUAUAGCUUAGUCACUCCUGGUUGUACCAAUGUGUACUUUGAUAUACUACCUAGCUAUGACAUAAGUGUUGAGAUUUGUCUCAUCGUAGCAAUCGAUGGGACAAAUAAUAACAUACACAUAAUUAAUAAACAGUUAGUAAAGUAACCAUGGGGAUGGUUUUUGUAUAGAAGACAGUUAGGGGAAGUGAAAUAAAGUACAAAACAUCCUGCUUUCCGAACAGUUUGGAUUUAGGAAAGGCCAUUCAACCAUUCAUCAACUGAUUCGGCUGAUGAAUAACAUCUGUUUCCAAGUCGACAGGGAUGGCCUUGCUAGACAUCGAAAAGGCAUUCGACAAUGUCUGGCAUGAUGGACUCAUACAAGCUUAGUAAUUUCAACUUUCCACUUCACAUCAUCAAGAUCAUCCAAAAUUACCUUCAACGAAGGUCGUUCAGAGUCUCCUUGAACGGUUGCUGUUUGGACACGUUCACCAUCCAAGCAGGAGUUCCUCAAGGUAGUCUACUGGGCCCGAUCCUAUACAAUGUCUACACAUCCGACAUUCCUCCUCUGGGCGAUGACGGAGUACUCUUCCUGUUAGCUGAUGAUACAGCAAUAACCGUCAAGGGUAGAAUUCCUCGUGAGAUCACGAACAAACUCCAAAGAUGCCUCAAUUCUUUCGUCGAAUACACCAAUACGUGGAAAAUCAAAAUAAACGCAGCCAAAACAAAAACCAUAAUGUUUCUACACCGACAAUCUCCGAAACUUAGACCUCCGCCUACAUGUACAAUGGUUAUGAAUGGCACAAGGGUCGACUAGUCCAGCGAGGUGACAUAUCUGGGAGUUCUG